rnacentral:rRNA from 1 species
CACGUAGGGGGCAAGCGUUGUCCGGAUUUAUUGGGCGUAAAGAGCUCGUAGGCGGCUCAGUAAGUCAGGUGUGAAACCUCCAGGCUCAACCGUGAGACGCCACCUGAUACUGCUGUGGCUAGAGUCCGGUAGGGGAGCGUGGAAUUCCUGGUGUAGCGGUGAAAUGACGCAGAUAUCAGGAGGAACACCGGUGGCGAAGGCGGCGACCUGGGUAGAUACUGACGCUGGAGGUGCGAAAGCGUGGGGAGCAAACAGG